rnacentral:piRNA from 1 species
UGCUGGCUGCAAUCCACAUGGCUGC